CACGUAGGGUGCGAGCGUUGUCCGGAAUUAUUGGGCGUAAAGAGCUCGUAGGCGGUGUGUCGCGUCGGCCGUGAAAACCUGUGGCUUAACUAUGGGCUUGCGGUCGAUACGGGCAUCACUGGAGUUCGGCAGGGGAGACUGGAAUUCCUGGUGUAGCGGUGAAAUGCGCAGAUAUCAGGGAGGGAACACCCGGUGGCGGAAGGCGGGUCUCUGGGCCGAUACUGACGC
rnacentral:rRNA from 1 species